CAGCAGCCGCGGGAAUACGAAGGGUGCAAGCGUUAAUCGGAAUUACUGGGCGUAAAGCGUGCGUAGGCGGUGAGUUAAGUCUGCUGUGAAAUCCCCGGGCUCAACCUGGGAAUGGCAAUGGAUACUGGCAAGCUAGAGUGUGUCAGAGGAUGGUGGAAUUCCCGGUGUAGCGGUGAAAUGCGUAGAGAUCGGGAGGAACAUCAGUGGCGAAGGCGGCCAUCUGGGACAACACUGACGCUGAGGCACGAAAGCGUGGGGAGCAAACAGGAUUAGAUACCCCGGUAGUCCCUGUCUCUUAUAC
rnacentral:rRNA from 1 species